CCUAGCCCUAAACAUUGGCAACACCCUACAUCUGUUGCCCGCCAGGAAACUACGAGCAUUAGCUUAAAACCCAAAGGACUUGGCGGUGCUUUAGAUCCACCUAGAGGAGCCUGUUCUAGAACCGAUAACCCCCGUUCAACCUCACCCUUCCUUGUUAGACCCGCCUAUAUACCACCGUCGUCAGCUUACCCUGUGAAGGCCCCAUAGUAAGCAUAAUUGGCACAGCCCAGAACGUCAGGUCGAGGUGUAGCGUAUGGAGGGGGAAGAAAUGGGCUACAUUCUUUAACAGAAAGAAUACGAAUGAUUGACUGAAAUGUCUUUCCGAAGGAGGAUUUAGCAGUAAGCAAGAAAUAGAGAGUCCUGCUGAAAUUGGCUCUGAAGCGCGCAC
rnacentral:rRNA from 1 species